UACGAAGGGGGCUAGCGUUGCUCGGAAUGACUGGGCGUAAAGCGCACGUAGGCGGAUUGUUAAGUCAGGGGUGAAAUCCUGGAGCUCAACUCCAGAACUGCCUUUGAUACUGGCGAUCUCGAGUCCGGGAGAGGUGAGUGGAACUGCGAGUGUAGAGGUGAAAAUUCGUAGAUAUUCGCAAGAACACCAGUGGCGAAGGCGGUUCUCUGGGACGGUACUGACGCUGAGACGCGAAAGCGUGGGGAGCGAACAGG
rnacentral:rRNA from 1 species